rnacentral:rRNA from 1 species
AUGGCAGACCUGCUCCUCCUCAUCCUGCUUCCCUUGCUUCUCCUUUUCUUCAUCCUCCUCCAUGCCUCCCCCAUCAAAGCCCUCCUCACGACGGCCAAGUUGGUUCUAGCGCCGGAGCUCUCCACGGUGUGGAAGCCGCAGCCCGCUAGUAUCUUUGUCACCGACCAUGAGACGGCGCACAGCCUUCUCGUGCGCGGCAGCGCCGGCGGCUCCUUCUCCAACCGCCCACCGUCCAUUUCUCCCAGCGCCAUCCUCUCGCACCGUCAAUACCAGAACAUCACCUCCGCUCCCUACGGUGAGCACUGGCGCGCCAUUCGUCACAACCUCACAUCGGAGGUCCUCCACCCAACGCAGCUCCACCGGCACGCGUCAGCGCGCCGCCGUGCACUACAUGGUCUUGUCGUGGACCUCGCCGAGCAGAGGAAAAACGGCGUGGUUCACGCGGCGGAGAGCAUCCGCUACGCUAUGUUUGGCCUGGUGGCCAACAUGUGUUUCGGCGACAACAUCAACAAUAACCGCGUCCGUGCCAUGGCCGACGCUCAGAGUGACCUCGUCAAGUCCCUAUCUACGGCGCGCGUGUUCGCGCACGCGAAGCUCCCCGCACUGACCAGGCUCAUUUAUCGUAAUCGGUGGAAGAAGCUAGCCGCCUUGCGACAGCAGCAGGAGGAGACGUACCUACCACUCAUCAACUCCCGUCGCGGCCGGCACCGGCGACCCAGCGAGACGCCGGUGUAUGUGGACACACUCAUCGAUCUCACGGUGCCGGACGACCACAGUCAGGACCCAAGGCGGCAUCGGAGAAGGCAGUCCGAUGGUGAACUCGUCGGCAUGUGCUCCGAGUUCCUUGGUGCUGGAACUGAAACAACAGCAUCAGCGCUGCAGUGGAUCAUGGCCAACUUGGUGAAGCGUCCCGACAUACAGGAGACCGUCCGGAAGGAGAUCAAUGCCAUCGUGGGUGCGGACGCCGAGGAAGUCAGCGAGGUUGUUCUUGGAAAGCUGGAGUACCUGCAUGCUGUGAUCAUGGAGGCACUCCGGCUGCAUCCGCCGACGUCUUUUGCGUUCAGGCAGGUGAUGGAAGAGGAUCAUGUGGUUCACAAUGGCCAGCCUAUUCUAGUGGGCACAAAAGUGUACUUCCCACUGGCUGCUAUAGCACGAGACAUGACAGCGUGGGAUAACCCUGACAAGUUCAAGCCACAACGGUUCCUGUCCUACAAGGAUGCAUCCCAAGGAACCGACGGCACGAUCAAAAUGAUGCCUUUCGGCGGUGGUCGGAGGAUGUGCCCUGGUAGGGGUGUCGCAAUGCUGCACUUAAGCUACUUCACCGCCAACCUUGUGAGGGAGUUCCGGUGGAGGGAGGGAGAAGGUGAACGUGCCGUUGAUCUCCGACCUCAUGUUGAGUUCUUCACUGUCAUGAAGCGGCCAUUGCGUGCUCACCUAGAGCUUGAAAGGACAGAGAUCAAAACUAGUUAA